rnacentral:rRNA from 1 species
UGGGGAAUAUUGGACAAUGGGCGAAAGCCUGAUCCAGCCAUGCCGCGUUUGUGAAGAAGGUCUUCGGAUUGUAAAGCACUUUAAGUUGGGAGGAAGGGCAGUAAGCGAAUACCUUGCUGUUUUGACGUUACCGACAGAAUAAGCACCGGCUAACUCUGUGCCAGCAGCCGCGGUAAUACAGAGGGUGCAAGCGUUAAUCGGAAUUACUGGGCGUGAAGCGCGCGUAGGUGGUUCGUUAAGUUGAAUGUGAAAGCCCCGGGCUCAACCUGGGAACUGCAUCCAUAACUGGCGAGCUAGAGUAGGGCAGAGGGUGGUGGAAUUUCCUGUGUAGCGGUGAAAUGCGUAGAUAUAGGAAGGAACACCAGUGGCGAAGGCGACCACCUGGGCUCAUACUGACACUGAGGUGCGAAAGCGUGGGGAGCAAACAGG